CUCUGAAAACUGGGCAUUAUUCUAGGGCCAAAGGGAAUCACAGCACCACGACCACGAUGGCCCCUGCGGGGUGGCCUGCCUCUGCCUGUCAUUUUUUUGGGAAUUAGUGGUACUAUGCGUGCAAGCUACUGUGAGACCAGAUAUGAGUGGCAAUGUGCACUGGCACAGUUGUGCAGGGCACAGGCUGUAGGCCUGACACAGCCGCUUGAAGGACACUGACUGCUAUUCAAUCUAUA
rnacentral:lncRNA from 1 species